rnacentral:misc_RNA from 1 species
AACCAUAGAAACCUGCGGAGUACCUGCGGAAGGAUCGUUACCGAGUUUACAACUCCCAAACCCAUGUGAACAUACCUAUCGUUGCUUCGGCGGAUCGCCCCGGGCGCCUUGCGUGCCCCGGAUCCAGGCGGCCGCCGGGGGACCUUAACUCUUGUUUUUACUGAGAAUCUUCUGAGUCGUUUUUACAAAUAAAUAAAAACUUUUAACAAUGGAUCU